GGGAGCGGACGGUGUAGAUGGUGUGGAUGAACCACUCCCGACCUGCAGCCACCUGGAACAUCCAGACACAGUGGAGCUUGAGUUUACAGACCAGAUGUAAAUAUUGUGUCGUUCCUGGAAGCUGUUGCCGUGGUGAUAACCAAAAGAUACCUGUGUCGGGGGUGCGUGUGUGUCAGCUGACCUGGAAGAGAGGCGAGGAGGACAGGGCGAAUCCGUCUGAACCAGGCUGUCUGACCAGAGGCAGGCCUCCAGGAGUGUCCAGGGCCAGAGUGGCACCAAACAACACAUCUCCAAACGCUGUGGCCUGGGUCUCUGGCUGAGCCUUGUCCUGAGGAGGAAAACACACACCGGUGACUAUAGAUGCCACCACCCACCAUACGCCCAACAACCCCACUCACCAUCGUCGCUGUCGGCCAGGAUGGUGACCAUCGCACUGGGGAAGGUGGCUCCCACCUGGCCACCCAUGGGCAUGCUGAGGGUCACGUUGAAGCUCUCUUCCUCCUCGUAGAGCGAAUCGUCGAUGAUGAUUAUGCGGCAGGGCUUCUCCCUCUGGUCCUUGUCGAAGCGGAGCAUGCUGGUGUGGUCCUCGGGACGCGUGAUGUAGUCGCUGUAGGAGAGGACCGUGCUGGGGAUGGUGCCCGUCGCACUGGCUGUUGGCAGACGACCAUGAGUUCCUGGCUGAGGUCUCCAGAGCGGCGAACAGGCACCAGCAGCUCCCCAAUGUCCUCCUCUAUCUUAUACUCUGCCUGGGGGAUGAACACAGUGGACUCUGCAGAGGAAAGAGGGAGAAACCAUAGAAUUCAGAAUUAGAAUUGUAAUUUAAUAGGAUCUCUAUGGGAGAAACACAGAGGAUAGGCCAAAGAGAACAAGAGAAGAAGAGUUUACAAGCCCAGGGUCCACUAUCUCCACAGUGGCUGUAUCGGGGUACUCCAGCACGGCCAUGACAGGCUCCGACAGCUGGAUCUCAAAGGUCUCGCUGGUCUCAAACUCCAGGUCCGUGAAGAUCUUCACCCUCCAGGUGGCCACUGUCUGGCCUGGGUUGAACUGGACCUGCUUCUGGGCCUUGCCCCGGAAGUCCUUGUCCUUCUCCGCCGUGCCAUCCUUGGUGGUGAUGCCUGAAUAGAACCAUAUCGAACUGAACUAAAUAGAACCUCAUUUAAUUACAUUUAAUUGGAAUUUAGCUGAGGUAUCCCCUGCGUCUGAGCGUCACCUCCAGGAAUUUGGCGUCCUCAUCCACCAGAUAGUACUCCUUCUCCAGGCUGAUCCACGACCAGUUGAGCCGGAAUGGCUGCGGCUUCAGCUUGUUUCCACCUGGAAGACAAAACUUUGACAUCAGUUUUUGUAAACUCAUUGAGCCCUAUGACAAAAUACAGAUAUUUUAAAUUGUGAAGAUUAACUUGAUAACUUAAUGUUAGGGCUUACCCCCAAAUCCUCCAUCACAGGCCUCUUGAGUGAUGCCUUGUUUCUAAUUUCCUCUCUCACUCCAUUGUUCUCUCUCUCUCUCUCUCUCUCCCCCCACUCUCAGUCAGUGCCUGGCUAGGGUUUCUCACCUCCUCACCCAGAUAUGUGUGUCAGUUCCCUGGCUCCUUUGGCAGGGUUGCCUGCCCCUGGCUAGACUCUUACCUCCUUACCAGUCUCAGGGAAUGGGCCAAAACAGGCCAGAGAGAGAGACCAGAUUUAAAUGGAUCACUUGCUGACAGUGACUCAUAGCUACUAUAAGUGACGGUCUGUUCAAGGGAAUCCCUGUCUCUCUUUGUCUCUCUUUGUCUCUCU